GCAUUAUACCGCGAAACUGCGAAUGGCUCAUUAUAUAAGUUAUCGUUUAUUUGAUAAUACUUUACUACUUGGAUAACCGUGGUAAUUCUAGAGCUAAUACAUGCUAAAAAUCCCGACUUCGGAAGGGUUGUAUUUAUUAGAUUAAAAACCAAUGCCCCUCGGGGCUCUCUGGUGAAUCAUGAUAACUAGUCGAAUCGACAGGCCUUGUGCCGGCGAUGGCUCAUUCAAAUUUCUUCCCUAUCAACUUUCGAUGUUUGGGUCUUGUCCAAACAUGGUGGCAACGGGUAACGGAGGGUUAGGGCUCGACCCCGGAGAAGGAGCCUGAGAAACGGCUACUACAUCCAAGGAAGGCAGCAGGCGCGCAAAUUACCCAAUCCCGACACGGGGAGGUAGUGACAAUAAAUACUGAUACAGGGCUCUUUUGGGUCUUGUAAUCGGAAUGAGUACAAUUUAAAUCCCUUAACGAGGAACAAUUGGAGGGCAAGUCUGGUGCCAGCAGCCGCGGUAAUUCCAGCUCCAAUAGCGUAUAUUAAAGUUGUUGUGGUUAAAAAGCUCGUAGUUGAACCUUGGGCCUGGCUGGCCGGUCCGCCUCACCGCGUGCACUGGUCCGGCCGGGCCUUUCCCUCUGCGGAACCCCAUGCCCUUCACUGGGUGUGGCGGGGAAACAGGACUUUUACUUUGAAAAAAUUAUAGUGCUCAAGGCAGGCCUAUGCUCGAAUACAUUAGCAUGGAAUAAUAGAAUAGGACGUGUGGUUCUAUUUUGUUGGUUUCUAGGACCGCCGUAAUGAUUAAUAGGGACAGUCGGGGGCAUCAGUAUUCAAUUGUCAGAGGUGAAAUUCUUGGAUUUAUUGAAGACUAACUACUGCGAAAGCAUUUGCCAAGGAUGUUUUCAUUAAUCAGGAACGAAAGUUAGGGGAUCGAAGACGAUCAGAUACCGUCGUAGUCUUAACCAUAAACUAUGCCGACUAGGGAUCGGACGAUGUUACAUUUUUGACGCGUUCGGCACCUUACGAGAA
rnacentral:rRNA from 1 species